rnacentral:rRNA from 1 species
UGGGGAAUAUUGCGCAAUGGGGGAAACCCUGACGCAGCGACGCCGCGUGAGCGAUGAAGGCCUUAGGGUUGCAAAGCUCUGUUUUAGGGGACGAAUGUCCAUGUGAGUAAUAUGCGCGUGGAAUGACGGUACCCUAAGAGGAAGCCCCGGCUAACUACGUGCCAGCAGCCGCGGUAAGACGUAGGGGGCGAGCGUUGUCCGGAAUUACUGGGCGUAAAGAGCACGUAGGCGGAGACUUAAGUCAGGUGUGAAAGACCGGGGCUCAACCCCGGGGUUGCACUUGAAACUGGGUCCCUUGAGGGCAGGAGAGGAAAGCAGAAUUCCUGGUGUAGCGGUGAAAUGCGUAGAAAUCAGGAGGAAUACCAGUGGCGAAGGCGGCUUUCUGGACUGACCCUGACGCUGAGGUGCGAAAGCGUGGGUAGCAAACAGGAUUAGAUACCCUGGUAGUCCACGCCGUAAACGAUGGAUACUAGGUGUAGGAGGUAUCGACCCCUUCUGUGCCGCAGCUAACGCAAUAAGUAUCCCGCCUGGGGAGUACGGUCGCAAGGCUGAAAACUUAAAUGAAUUGACGGGGUCAUAGCUGUUUCCU